rnacentral:tRNA from 1 species
UUCAGUGUAGCAUAGUGGUUUGAGUUUUGGACUGUGAAUCUGGAGACCAGGGUUCAAUUAGCAGCUCAGCCAUGAAA